UACGUAGGGGGCGAGCGUUGUCCGCAGUUACUGGGCGUAAAGCGCGCGUAGGCGGUUUCUUAAGUCUGGGGUGAAAGGUUCAGCGCUCAACGCGAACAGUGCCUUGGAUACUGGGAGACUUGAGUCUGGGAGGGGGCAGUGGAAUUCCUGGUGUAGCGGUGAAAUGCGUAGAUAUCAGGAGGAACACCGGUGGCGAAGGCGGCUGCCUGGCCUAAGACUGACGCUGAGGUGCGAAAGCGUGGGGAGCGAACGGG
rnacentral:rRNA from 1 species